rnacentral:rRNA from 1 species
AACGAACGCUGGCGGCAGGCCUAACACAUGCAAGUCGAACGCCGUAGCAAUACGGAGUGGCAGACGGGUGAGUAACACGUGGGAACGUACCCUUCGGUUCGGGAUAACUCAGGGAAACGUUGAGCUAAUACCGGAUACGUCCGAGAGGAGAAAGAUUUAUUGCCGAGGGAUCGGCCCGCGUCUGAUUAGCUUGUUGGUGAGGUAACGGCUCACCAAGGCGACGAUCAGUAGCUGGCUGAGAGGAUGAUCAGCCACAUUGGGACUGAGACACGGCCCAAACUCCUACGGGAGGCAGCAGUGGGGAAGUAUUGGACGAAUGGGCGCAAGCCUGAUCCAGCCAUGCCGCGUGAGUGAUGAAGG